rnacentral:rRNA from 1 species
UACGAAGGGGGCUAGCGUUGCUCGGAAUCACUGGGCGUAAAGGGUGCGUAGGCGGGUCUUUAAGUCAGGGGUGAAAUCCUGGAGCUCAACUCCAGAACUGCCUUUGAUACUGAGGAUCUUGAGUCCGGAAGAGGUCGGCGGAACUGCGAGUGUAGAGGUGAAAUUCGUAGAUAUUCGCAAGAACACCAGUGGCGAAGGCGGCCGACUGGUCCGGUUCUGACGCUGAGGCGCGAAAGCGUGGGGAGCAAACAGG